rnacentral:rRNA from 1 species
UACGAAGGGGGCUAGCGUUGCUCGGAAUUACUGGGCGUAAAGCGCACGUAGGCGGCUUUCUAAGUCGGGGUGAAAUCCUGGAGCUCAACUCCAGAACUGCCUUCGAUACUGGAGAGCUUGAGUCCGGGAGAGGUGAGUGGAACUGCGAGUGUAGAGGUGAAAUUCGUAGAUAUUCGCAAGAACACCAGUGGCGAAGGCGGCACUCUGGGACGGUACUGACGCUGAGACGCGAAAGCGUGGGAGCGAACGAGG